CGAUGCCUCUAGUGUGCGACUCUUUAUUUUCCCCAAAAAAUUUAAACUUUUUGUGGAUUAUAGUUAUAGGUAGGUUCACACGUAUUUAAGAGAAUCAGUCCUCUUUUCUCCGGCAUUCAGUUGUCGGCACCAGAGACUACAUGAUGUUAUUGUGAACGGGCCAGGAGGAGCAGAGAAGAAGGAAAUGACAAACUAAAUAGACGAAGAAACAUACCAAAUGAAAAGAAAACAGUUACAAAGUUGAGAAAAAAGUGGACGUUUCGCAAUGAAAUGGGAAAAACUUGCUACAGCACUGAGGACGCGGUGUGGACGGCACAUACGAUUGCAGAGCAAAGCCGAUCAAGAGAGUUCUCCGGCCAGAUAUAAGCUGUGCUUCGACGAGAAGGCUUCGCCGGCGCCGUGUUUGAGCCGCUUCCAUUGAAAGUCGGGUCACUAGAAGUAGAUUCUGUGUGUGGGUGAUGAAGAGAUAAGAAGAAAGAGGCGGACAUCCCAGCGGAUGACGUCAGCUGAAAAGAAGAAAGAGGGACAAAAGAAAAAAAGAAGAAACAAAUAGGAAGAGAGUGCAGGAUCGGGAGGGCGGCUGCUGGCUGGUAGGGUUUGGAGUAGUGUUUAUUUAUGAAUGCUGUUUGUGUUAGUUGUGUUAUCGGAUUUAUAUACUUUCUGUCAUUCUCA